UACGUAGGGGGCAAGCGUUGUCCGGAUUUAUUGGGCGUAAAGGGCACGCAGGCGGUCCAUUAAGUUCAGGGUGACAGUCAUCAGCUUAACUGAUGAAGUGCCUUGAAAACUGGUGGACUUGAGAGCGAGAGAGGGACACGGAACUCCGGGUGGAGCAGUGAAAUGCGUAGAGAUCCGGAAGAACACCAAAGGCGAAGGCAGUGUCCUGGCUCGUUUCUGACGCUCAGGUGCGAAAGCGAGGGGAGCGAACGGG
rnacentral:rRNA from 1 species